AAUACCCGUUGAUCCUGCGGGAGAUUACUGCUAUUAGGAUUCGACUAAGCCAUGCAAGUCAUGGGGUCCUUCG
rnacentral:rRNA from 1 species